UGGGGGAUAUUGGACAAUGGGGGAAACCCUGAUCCAGCGACGCCGCGUGAGUGAAGAAGUAUUUCGGUAUGUAAAGCUCUAUCAGCAGGGAAGAAAGAAAUGACGGUACCUGAGUAAGAAGCCCCGGCUAACUACGUGCCAGCAGCCGCGGUAAUACGUAGGGGGCAAGCGUUAUCCGGAAUUACUGGGUGUAAAGGGAGCGUAGACGGUAAUGCAAGUCUGGAGUGAAAGGCGGGGGCCCAACCCCCGGACUGCUCUGGAAACUGUGUAACUGGAGUGCAGGAGAGGCAGGCGGAAUUCCUA
rnacentral:rRNA from 1 species